rnacentral:rRNA from 1 species
UGGGGAAUUUUGGACAAUGGGCGAAAGCCUGAUCCAGCAAUGCCGCGUGUGUGAAGAGGGCCUUCGGGUUGUAAAGCACUUUUGUCCGGAAAGAAAUCCUUGGCUCUAAUACAGUCGGGGGAUGACGGUACCGGAAGAAUAAGCACCGGCUAACUACGUGCCAGCAGCCGCGGUAAUACGUAGGGUGCAAGCGUUAAUCGGAAUUACUGGGCGUAAAGCGUGCGCAGGCGGUUUGCUAAGACCGAUGUGAAAUCCCCGGGCUCAACCUGGGAACUGCAUUGGUGACUGGCAGGCUAGAGUAUGGCAGAGGGGGGUAGAAUUCCACGUGUAGCAGUGAAAUGCGUAGAGAUGUGGAGGAAUACCGAUGGCGAAGGCAGCCCCCUGGGCCAAUACUGACGCUCAUGCACGAAAGCGUGGGGAGCAAACAGGAUUAGAUACCCUGGUAGUCCACGCCCUAAACGAUGUCAACUAGUUGUUGGGGAUUCAUUUCCUUAGUAACGUAGCUAACGCGUGAAGUUGACCGCCUGGGGAGUACGGUCGCAAGAUUAAAACUUAAAUGAAUUGACGGGGUCAUAGCUGUUC